AGCUAUUUGGGAGGCUGAGGCAGGAGAAUCACUUGAACCUGGGAGGCAGAGGUUGUAGUGAGCUGAGAUGGCACUAUUGCACUCCAGCCUGGGUGAUAAGUGAAACUCUGUCUCAAAGUCAUAAGGUACGGUCUGUGCCUUCUCAGUUUUACUACCUCCAUCUGCUGUCAGAUUUUAAUAGCUGGGAACAUUGUUUAUGAAUAUAUGCAAUUGUACUACUUUGGAAAAAGCACAUAUACUUUAAAACAGACCCAGAGACAAUUUUCUCCUAUCCCCCAUCUGGUAUUAGAGAUGGGGGCAAAGAAGUUGAAGGACCAGGAGAAAAAGGAGAAUAAAGUAUUUCUCAUGAGGUCUACUAUUUUAUAUCUGUUAAAUUAAUGUAAAAUGCCAUUUCCGGAUUUUCCUAAAGCAGAUUCUAUUAAGAUCAUUAAGCCACCAAAAGAAUUUAAUGCCUUCUAGUAUUAAAACUCUCAAUUGUUUCAGAUGUUCCAAACAAAUGAUGACGCCAUAUUAUCAGAGAUCAGUUACAAACCAAGGUUGCAUACUACCUAUGAAUUUCCAGUGGUUUGCUUUGUGAAGAGGCUUAAAUUCCCCUCUGUGAUGCAUUUUGGAAUGAGUGGGUUUGAUGCCCACACCUUGAAAGAAAUCCCUCAAAAAACAAAAGGACAAGAGUCACCAACUCCCACACAAAGUAAAACAUGGACACUUAAUUUUAACAGUGUUAAUAAGGAGCAACUAUCCAAGAAGUCACUGUAUCAAUAAUGCCUGUGUUAUAACACCCUCUCCUCCCUAAAGCAAGGGAACAAGUGAUACAUCUUGUCUGAAAACCAGUUUCAUCAAUACUGUUGAUGUGUCUGUACAAAGAUGAGUAGCAACAUCUGUUACCAGUUUCACUACAUUUUGGAGUUUUGAAUAACAUAUCUAUACCAUGAUAUUUAUACUUUUUAAUGAGUUAAUUUUAAGUGAAAUUGCCAUUCUAACUCUGAAAUCAAGCUCAUACAUAAUAAAGCUUGCCCAUACCCAG
rnacentral:lncRNA from 10 species